rnacentral:tRNA from 1 species
GGUUCCGUGGUGUAGUGGUUAUCACAUCUGCUUUACACGCAGAUGGUCGCCGGUUCGAACCCGGCCGGAAUCA